rnacentral:rRNA from 1 species
AGAGUUUGAUCCUGGCUCAGAAUGAACGCUGGCAGUAUACUUAACACAUGCUAGUUGAAUGUUAUUAAACAACAUAACGAACGAGUGCGUAAUACAUGAGAAUUUGCCUUUUGUAAAAGAAUAAUCAUAAUUUUUUUAAAAAAUGAAUGCUUCGGCAGUGAAAAUACUUUUUAAAAGUUUACAACUAACUUAAGAUAAGCUCAUGAAAGAUUAGGUUGUUGGUGGGGUAAAAGCUUACCAAGCCGAAGAUCUUUAGUUGGUCUGAGAGGAUGAUCAGCCACACUGGGACUGAGAUAAGGCCCAGGCUAUUAAGCCUGCAGUGAGGAAUCUUGGACAAUGGGUGAAAGCCUGAUCCAGUAAUACUGCGUGAAUGAGGAAGGUACAAAAGAUUUAUAUUUAGUUAUAAAUCGACUGUAAAAUUAUUUCACUAAUGAUGAUAAUGACGUUAAUUAGAGAAGAAGCCCCGGCUAAUCUCGUGCCAGCAGCCGCGGUAAUACGAGAGGGGCAAGCGUUAUUCGGAAUGAUUGGGCGUAAAGGGUUCGUAGGCGGCAAUUGCUGUUGUAAGUAAAAGUUUAGAUUUAUCUUUAAAAAAGCUUAUAAUACUCUUUUGCUUGAGUUUAGAAGAGGAUAAUAGAAUUUCAUACAUAGGGGUAAAAUCCAAAGAUUAUUGAAGGAAUGUCAGUGGCGAAGGCGAUUAUCUGGGCUAAAACUGACGCUGAGGAACGAAAGCGUAGGGAGCAAACAGGAUUAGAUACCCUGGUAGUCC